rnacentral:ncRNA from 1 species
UGCCUGGCACGGCCGUGCCAGGCACCGCUUGCGACGGUGGCUCAGCCGACCGGCGGGCGGAU